AGAGUUUGAUCAUGGCUCAGGAUAAACGCUGGCGGCGUGCCUAACGCAUGCAAGUCGAACGGUGCCUUCGGGCACAGUGGCGGACGGGUGAGUAACACGUAGGAACCUGCCCGGAAGUGGGGGACAACCCCGCGAAAGCGGGGCUAAUACCGCAUACGGUCCACGGACCAAAGCCUUCGGGCGCUUUCGGAGGGGCCUGCGGCGGAUUAGCUAGUUGGUGGGGUAACGGCCUACCAAGGCGACGAUCCGUAGCUGGUCUGAGAGGAUGGCCAGCCACACUGGGACUGAGACACGGCCCAGACUCCUACGGGAGGCAGCAGCGAGGAAUUUUCCGCAAUGGGCGCAAGCCUGACGGAGCAACGCCGCGUGGGGGAAGAAGGCCUUCGGGUUGUAAACCCCUGUUGCGAGGGACGAAGAUCUGACGGUACCUCGCGAGGAAGCCACGGCUAACUACGUGCCAGCAGCCGCGGUAAUACGUAGGUGGCAAGCGUUGUCCGGAUUUACUGGGCGUAAAGCGCGCGCAGGCGGACUGGUCAGUCCGGGGUGAAAUCUCACGGCUCAACCGUGAGGGGUCCCUGGAUACUGCCAGCCUUGAGGGGCUCAGAGGAGAGUGGAAUUCCGGGUGUAGUGGUGGAAUGCGUAGAUAUCCGGAGGAACACCAGUGGCGAAAGCGGCUCUCUGGGGGCAACCUGACGCUGAGGCGCGAAAGCGUGGGGAGCGAACCGGAUUAGAUACCCGGGUAGUCCA
rnacentral:rRNA from 1 species